AGUGGCGAACGGGUGAGUAACACGUGGGCAAUCUGCCCUUCACUCUGGGACAAGCCCUGGAAACGGGGUCUAAUACCGGAUAACACUCGCCGAGGCAUCUCGGGGGGUUGAAAGCUCCGGCGGUGAAGGAUGAGCCCGCGGCCUAUCAGCUUGUUGGUGAGGUAGAAGCUCACCAAGGCGACGACGGGUAGCCGGCCUGAGAGGGCGACCGGCCACACUGGGACUGAGACACGGCCCAGACUCCUACGGGAGGCAGCAGUGGGGAAUAUUGCACAAUGGGCGAAAGCCUGAUGCAGCGACGCCGCGUGAGGGAUGACGGCCUUCGGGUUGUAAACCUCUUUCAGCAGGGAAGAAGCGAAAGUGACGGUACCUGCAGAAGAAGCGCCGGCUAACUACGUGCCAGCAGCCGCGGUAAUACGUAGGGCGCAAGCGUUGUCCGGAAUUAUUGGGCGUAAAGAGCUCGUAGGCGGUCUGUCACGUCGGAUGUGAAAGCCCGGGGCUUAACCCCGGGUCUGCAUUCGAUACGGGCAGACUAGAGUGUGGUAGGGGAGAUCGGAAUUCCUGGUGUAGCGGUGAAAUGCGCAGAUAUCAGGAGGAACACCGGUGGCGAAGGCGGAUCUCUGGGCCAUUACUGACGCUGAGGAGCGAAAGCGUGGGGAGCGAACAGGAUUAGAUACCC
rnacentral:rRNA from 1 species